CCAAACAUGGCAAUGAUCGUUAAGUGCCUGAGCCCAAUAGAUUGAUAUCCCGUUAUUUGAAGCUGUUUAUAUAAAUAAAUAUUAAAAUAUAUUUUAUAUAGUUUAGAUUGGAUUCCAACAUUAUCAAAUUUGGAUAUAUAUGCUAAUUACUCCAUUCGUAUCCUAAAUCGAAAUUCCUUGCACACAAGUAGAUGCGUACAAACUAAUCAUGGGACUGAGUAAUCAUUAACAAGACAUGCCAUGAAUACGACGUAGUCAAUGUUUCAUCUCCACCAAACUUCAUGUUAACAGGAGAUGCAAGUUAUGUAUUUGUACAACCUCAUAAGCCAACAAAAACUUCAUGAUUAUGACUGCAAUUCAAUCCCCUUCUCAUUCCUUAACUCCCCAGAAUUCUACGUACCUAAAUUCACUCACUAAUUACAUCUUCAGACCCAUGUCCCAUUCACUUUCCGCCAUUUGGGCAGCCUCUGUGUGGCUUGUUUUGGACAUUUCUUCAGCUCAUGUGGCAACUAUUGCUCAUUGCCUGUCCUUCCAAAAUCCAAACACCACUCUUUCGCGAAUCGGCCGUCUGUCAUGAUAAUCUUGUAUUAAUCAAAGUCUCGUACACAAUGAAUCUCGACGGUUUAUGUUCUUCGCACGUGUGUGAUGAAGUUUAUCCCUAAUCCUUUUUAAGACGACGUUGCAUUUUGUUGGGUUUAAUCAAUGGAAUGCAAGACAAAGGCAGCCUCACGACGUGGCAAGCGAAUAGACAACAGAGACAUUUGAUUCAAAACUUGUCCCCACAGGCGACUUUCUGUAAGCUACGAUUUUAAAGCAACAAAAGGCACGUGUCCUCCAUAUUUAACAAGCUUUCUACGUUGAACCACAGAGUUUCUGCUACGUCUCUCAUUAGCGCAUAAAAAACUCCAAAAGGGGAUGACGACGAAGGCAAAUUAGGGUACUUUGUUUUGACUCAUUGCACCUGGCGAAAGGCUAUUGGGUGACGUGUUGCAGCUGCUAGAUACUUGCUCCUGGGCAACUAAUCUCAUUGGCUGUAAUAAAUAUUUGUUUUAUGUUUUUUUAAUUUUGGCAAUUUAAUAUAUAGAUUUUUUAAUUGAUAUUUGGCGAAGAACCAAAGUCGGGCACGUUGAGCCUGUGGUCUCGACAAUGACUGAACCGAACAUGGCUCCAAUCGGCUUGUUGUUGGCUCGCCCGUCA
rnacentral:lncRNA from 1 species